ACCUCGAGUGCCAGGUUACAAAUCUGGCUGUCGAGAUGCCUAAAAAGCAUUUCAUAGCAAGGGCCGGGCAAGACCGGUGCCAGCCGCCGCGGUAACACCGGCGGCUCGAGUGGUAACCGUUAUUAUUGGGUCUAAAGGGUCUGUAGCCGGCCGGAUAAGUCUCUUGAGAAAUCUGGCAGCUUAACUGUCAGGCUUUCAGGAGAUACUGUCUGGCUCGAGGCCGGGAGAGGUGAGAGGUACUUCAGGGGUAGGGGUGAAAUCUUGUAAUCCUUGAAGGACCACCAGUGGCGAAGGCGUCUCACCAGAACGGACCUGACGGCAAGGGACGAAAGCUAGGGGCACGAACCGGAUUAGAUACCCGGGUAGUCCUAGCCGUAAACGAUACUCGCUAGGUGUCGGCCACGGUGCGACCGUUGUCGGUGCCGUAGGGAAGCCGUGAAGCGAG
rnacentral:rRNA from 1 species